UAAAGUUGCCAAGGUUGAGAACCCCUGCUGUAGAUGCUGCUGGCAGGAUCUAUUCUCCAAUUUCCUGCAAGGACUCUCCAGUGAUGCAGAACAUGUGACCACUCCAAGAUCAUCCUACCUAAUAGCUUGCUUCUGAAUGAAAUCUCUCUAAGAAAUAAACUUUUCCCAGGCUAGCUUCAGCGGCAUGGACCCAAUUAUGGAACUUGGUACCCUCCCUACUUGCCCCCACUGUAAACUAUAAUCAAAGAUAUGUUUGUUCAUCCAGGCAUUUUGUAGGAUAAUAAUUACUCCAGGGCUAAGCUGUCU